GCAGCUGGGAGUGACCACCGCUUGAUUGUCCAGCCCGGCACUUCCCAUUCAGGCCACCUGCUUUGGGGUGAAAGUCCCUUGUGCCUGCAGCACUGCUAGGAUACUGUGGGCCAGAGCUCCAGGACCGGGUGGCCCCACUCGUCUCUAGGACUCUGCCCACCCAGAGACUGAGAGGACAGAAGCCAACACCCAGCGAGCUUACAGGUCGGUUUCCAGGCACCCCCCACAGACCUGCAAACAUCCCCUCCUGGAGGGCAAAGCCAGGGACGGCAGAAUUGUCUGAGCAACGAGUCUGUGAAAUUUUUGGCAACUGGAACUGCUUCACUUGAACCCAGGAGCAUUUAAAGCUUUAUUUAUUUAUAGCUUCUUAUUAAAAAAGUGUUGAGAAGAAAUCUUGGGUCAUUCAUACAAAAAAAAUGAGUUGAUGAUGGAAAAGCAAGUCAUAAUCAUCCAAUUGUUUCUGUCUAGGUCGAGAAUGAAUGUUAGCAGAUGAAAUAAACCCUGAAAAGGAC